AAUUGGCUGACGAAUCCCAAAUAGGACGAAAUGCGCAUGAUUGGU
rnacentral:hammerhead_ribozyme from 1 species